ensembl:lncRNA
CUCAGCGGUAUGUUGUUCAUACAAAUGCACUGCUUGGAAGCAAUUCAAAACAGCUUAUUCAAAGCUGCAGAGAAGACACACACACACACACACACACACACACACACACACACAUACAUAGAUGCAUUUCUGUGCAUCUGGAGGCGUGCAGAUUCGGACAAAAUUGGAAAGCGUCAAUUUAUCCCGAGCAUAAAGCCUGCACCAUUUCAGUGAAACAGCAGCAGCAGCAGGACGUCCCUCAUUUCACUAAUGGCUUUAAAUGUUUGCUAAAUUGUUUCCUUUUACACCAAAGACUAACACGAAACAGCGUCAAGCCAGUCGAGAGUGCAAUCCAACACGGCAACCUGUUAUUAGCCCUGGUGCUCAUACAAAUAAAUAAAUACAUACAUACAUACAAUCGUCGACUUCAUCAAACCCACCUCGUGAGAAACCGGUAUCCGUCACGUCACCUCACUGACGUCGCUGUGCUAUCCGGGAUACGUUUCGACUCGCUCGAUACCCGCCGUUACUUGUUAGCUCCAUAAACCUGGACAUCUGGACAGCGCUCCUAACGAAGCUCGACCACCAAACACGCCUGGAAAACACGUGUCGGUUUGAUUGAUUAUUUUUGCUGUAAUAACGACACCAUGAAAAAAAAAAAUCAGCAACAAAUAAACCACGCUAUGUCUCCUGGCUGGUUUUCAUCCUGGUCUGUUUUCUUUUGUUUUUUGGGGUUUUUUUUUGCGCAAAAGGAAACGUUUAAAAGGAUUAGUUAAAUAACAGACUUCCUGCUGUUGCUUCACCUUCAGCCAGAAAAAAAACAACACACACACACACACACACACACACACAAAAGCAGAAACACCUCGACAAAACUGAUUUAUAAGUCGUUCAGGAACAGUGUAAGCAUUUUUUCAAAUUUGUUUAUACCUUAUUAUAAAGUUACUCUUAUAAAGUGCACCGCUGUGUGAACUUCCUUCAUGAUUCGACAGCGUGAACCCGAACAGAAUUAUUAUACUGAUGUUCCUCACGCCGCUUGUCAUACUGUUGUUGUUUUUGAAGAGAUCAUUUCAAGCAGUAAUAUUUUAACGAGGACUAUUAUAUAGGAUUUUUAAUGGGACGUUUAUGACUUUAAAGUCGUGUGAGAGUAUGAAAGAGGACCCUUUAAAUAAAUGGGGGGGGGGGGGGGGGGGGGUGACAUAUUAAACAGAACAGAAAUAUUAAAAUAUCAACAAAAUAUAUCAAAUAGAACCUUUUUAAAUAAACAGAACAAAAAUAUUAAAAUAUUAGCAAAAUAUAUGAAAUAGAAGCCUUUUAAAUAGAUAGAAGAAAAUAUCACAUAUUAAAUAGAACAAAAAUAUUAAAAUAUUAAAAAAUAUAUUAAAUAGAAGCCUUUUAAAUAAAUAGAAGAAAAUAUCACAUAUUAAAUAGAACAAAAAUAUUAAAAUAUUAAAAAAUACAUUAAAUAGAAGCCUUUUAAAUAAAUAGAAGAAAAUAUCACAUAUUAAAUAGAACAA